rnacentral:tmRNA from 2 species
GGGGGCGAUCGGUUUCGACUGGGAGAUCACCGUCCCGAGGUGGCGUGCCGAGGUUGCUGGGAUGGCCUCGUUAAUCCCCCAGCAAGGCAACAACUGCCGACAACAACUACGCUCUCGCUGCCUAAUUAAAGGCGGCUCGUCUCUCGGCCUUCGCCCGCUGGGCUGAGCAGACGCACGAUCGCGGGCUGGCGUGAGGCCGUGCCUGGAGGCCGAUCGCGAGAACAAUUCAGGCUGGUGCUCCCUUCAGCGUGUUCGACGGCGGGGGGGAGGACGAGAACAAAGGUCGGACUACGCACGUAGAUGCCCGGGUUGGGACUCGUCAGGACGCGGGUUCGAUUCCCGCCGCCUCCACCA